UACGAAGGGGGCUAGCGUUGCUCGGAAUCACUGGGCGUAAAGGGUGCGUAGGCGGGUCUUUAAGUCAGGGGUGAAAUCCUGGAGCUCAACUCCAGAACUGCCUUUGAUACUGAAGAUCUUGAGUUCGGGAGAGGUGAGUGGAACUGCGAGUGUAGAGGUGAAAUUCGUAGAUAUUCGCAAGAACACCAGUGGCGAAGGCGGCUCACUGGCCCGAGUACUGGACGCUGAGGCACGAAAGCGUGGGGA
rnacentral:rRNA from 1 species